rnacentral:rRNA from 1 species
UACGUAGGGUGCGAGCGUUAAUCGGAAUUACUGGGCGUAAAGCGUGCGCAGGCGGCGGCUCAAGUCAGGUGUGAAAUCCCUCGGCUUAACCGGGGAACUGCGUCUGAUACUGGAUGGCUUGAGUUUGGGAGAGGGAUGCGGAAUUCCAGGUGUAGCGGUGAAAUGCGUAGAUAUCUGGAGGAACACCGGUGGCGAAGGCGGCAUCCUGGACCAACACUGACACUGAGGAGCGAAAGCCAGGGGAGCAAACGGG